UAUUCUGAAUUUCCUGUCAGUUCAAGAUCUCCAUUUUUCAAGGAUCUGUCUUUGGAAUUUUAUCAGUUUCCUCUGGAGGUGGUGUCAUGUGUUGUUGCUCACUCUUGGUGUUGGGGGCUGCAUUUGUGGAUGUAGGCACCUCUCCAGUCAUUACAGACUGUCUUUGGAAGGCAAAGCCCUUCACUAGUUAGUUCAUCCCGAGACUUUGGGUGGGCAAUCUAGUGGUGUCCAUUGGUGGACUUCCUGCUGGAGUCCUUGGGUGGCCUAAUGCUCAAAAUGGUUGAAAACCUGGGACAGGGGUGCUCAGCCCAGUGCUGGUCCCACAGGGUCCUGGGUUCACAGGUGCUCCCAUGGAGCCUGGGUUGUGGGUGUUGACUGGGAGCCUGAGUUCACAGGAGGGAUCCCAGAGCCAUGGAGGCCAGCUGGGGAGGAGAUGUGCUGGAGCCUGCCAGGAGUUUUCUGGUGAAACUGGAUUUGGGAAGUGUUAUGGUGAGCUGGGGAUGUGGGUUCCUAGGAGCCCACUGGGAGUCUGAUGACAAGGGCCAGAAUCCUGGGGCCACUGGAGCUGCCUGAGACCAUGGGAGCCUUCAGGCAAUGGAGUGGGUCAGGAGCCUUGGCUCAUGGGAGCCUUCUUGGAACCUGAAACUGUGGAAGAUACCCGGAGCCACGGGGGACCCUGUGGCCACUGGGCUGCGUGGGGCUGCUGGGGCACAUGGGCCUGGAUCCUGUUCCCAGCAGCCUUCUGCAAGCCUGGGGCCAGUAAAGCUGCCUGAAGCCACUGGGGCUGGCAGGUUUCCAGGGUGAACUGGGGUCUGGUCCCCCGGGAGCCCUCCUGGAACGUGGUGCCAUGGGAAAUGCCUAGGACUGCAGGAGCCAGCAGGCCCCAAAAGCCUGGAUUCGCCAUGGCCUGCUGGUGCCAAGGAUGCCCCUUGGGGCUGCUGGACAUGUCAGGGGCAGUGGGGGCCUGGGUUCUUGGCAGCCUGCAGGGAGCCCUGCUGUGGAAGCUACCUGGAGCUGUGGAUGGCAUCUGGGGCCUCUGGAUUACAAAGCACUGAGGUGAGUUGGUUUCUUGAUUUGUAGGAGCCAGCGGAGGAGUCACAGGAGCCACCCAGGGCAGGGGCCUGGGAGAAAUGAGGCCUGUGUCCCCAGGAACCUGCUGGUAAAACCCCAACAAUGGACUAAAUUAAGUCAUCACUUUCCUGAGCUAUUUGGUAGGGGGCCUAUCUGGAACUGCAGGCGCUUUACUGAGUAAGGAGGGUCACUCUCAUAGAGGAACUGGCUGGAACUGGUUCCCAGGGCAUGUGCUAAACUGACUGAAAGUACUAGAAUAACCUCUGCUUCAUUAGCAUGCUAGGAUUCCUGCCCAGGGAGGUGCUUAUUCACCAUUUUUUAAAUAUGUUAUGAACAAGCAUGAUAACAUGCAAUGCCUGUACACUAAUAAGUACAGUUCCGGUCAUCAGAAACACCCUGGACAUUUCCCUUUCCUUAAGGAAUAAAUAUUUUCUCUGACCCAUAAAAGCACUCUUCACAUAAUCCUGAGGAGGUAAUCUGAACAAUCGCUCUUGCCUUUGUGUUUGGCUGCCACAGUAAAAUCCUCUUGCUACUAAAGACUGUCUUGGAGAUUGGCUUUCUGUCACAGAAGCAGACAAACUCACCUCUGUGCUGUUUCACCAGGCGCCUGGUGUCAUGGGAGUCACCUGGUCACUGGAACUGGCAGGCACAAAGAGGGCCCAGGCUUGGGGGAGGGUACUGAGGGCCUGGGUUCCCAGCACCCCACCGGACGCUCUGCUAUGGGAGUUGCCUGGGGCCCCUAGGUCAGGCAACAUCAGGGGAGCACCUGGAGUCCUUGGCUCUUGAGAAGGUCAAGAAAAGCUCCAAGGAAAAUGUGCCACAAACACACCUGCUAAGAUAACUUUUUGUUUCUGGUUUGUUACUGCUGUAUGCCUAGCUGUUGUGUCUACACUUCCUAUUCCCUUGGCAGGUAGUUGCUUAGUCUCCAAACUUCACAAUGUUCUCCAUACAUUUAUAUUGUCAGUAAAUAAUUACUGAGCUUCAUUACAUGCCAGGCACUGUGUGGAGUUCUUGAGGUAUAUCAGUGAACAAAACACACAAAAUUCCCUGCUCCCAGGGAACUUACAUUCUAGCAGGAAGACACGGAUACCACAAUAAACAGAGGUGGAGUGGAAGUGGCUGCAGUUUACUGAGAGUGGUCGAGGCAAGUCUCCUUGAGAAGAUGAUCCUGCAGCAAGCUUUGGAAGGAGGUGAAGGAGCCUUGCGGCUAGCUGGAGAAAGCACUCCCAGCGGAGAGACCAUGUAGAGCAAAAGCACUCAAAGGAAUCACCCUGCUGGGUCUGAGGAACAGCAAGGAGGCUGCUGUGGCUAAAGCUAAGAAAGAAUAAAGAGUAAUAUAAUGGGGGUCAGAGGGUGAUAACCUUGUAAGUCAUUUAAAGAUUUUGUCUUUUACUUUGAGUGACAUGGGGAAGACUGGGAAGAGGGACAUUGUAGGAC